GCAAAUGAGGAGGGGCGUGUCUUAAGGACUCAACUGCUGCCCAUUGGUUGGUUAGCAUUUUGCUGCAUCCGUCGAAUCUACAUAGCUUUUCCCCACCGUAAAGCAUUUAGUAAUGGCAAACUCAGGAGGCAGACGUUCGGUGUCCGACCUCCUAAGGGAAGCUGCUAACAGAUUGGAAGAAUUAGAACGCUCUUCCAGUUUGAGUAGCAGUGGUGUGGAACCCGAGGAAGGCCAGAGGAGUAACAUUCCCUCAGCAGCAAGACCAGGAACAGUCAGUCAUACUGCUAUGGGCCGACAUCCUGUUGAUGGUAAGUUAGUUUGUGACAACCUGUGAUCUCUAACAUGUAACCUUCCUUCAGUGAAA